rnacentral:misc_RNA from 1 species
GGAAUAUUGGUCAAUGGACGGAAGUCUGAACCAGCCAAGUAGCGUGCAGGAUGACGGCCCUAUGGGUUGUAAACUGCUUUUGUAUGGGGAUAAAGUUAGGGACGUGUCCCUAUUUGCAGGUACCAUACGAAUAAGGACCGGCUAAUUCCGUGCCAGCAGCCGCGGUAAUACGGAAGGUCCAGGCGUUAUCCGGAUUUAUUGGGUUUAAAGGGAGCGUAGGCUGGAGAUUAAGUGUGUUGUGAAAUGUAGACGCUCAACGUCUGAAUUGCAGCGCAUACUGGUUUCCUUGAGUACGCACAACGUUGGCGGAAUUCGUCGUGUAGCGGUGAAAUGCUUAGAUAUGACGAAGAACUCCGAUUGCGAAGGCAGCUGACGGGAGCGCAACUGACGCUUAAGCUCGAAGGUGCGGGUAUCAAACAGGA